rnacentral:rRNA from 1 species
AAUCCUUUAGAGAUAGAGGAGUGCUCGAAAGAGAGCCGUAACACAGGUGCUGCAUGGCUGUCGUCAGCUCGUGUCGUGAGAUGUUGGGUUAAGUCCCGCAACGAGCGCAACCCUUGUCAUUAGUUGCUACGAAAGGGCACUCUAAUGAGACUGCCGGUGACAAACCGGAGGAAGGUGGGGAUGACGUCAAGUCCUCAUGGCCCUUAUAGGUGGGGCUACACACGUCAUACAAUGGCUGGUACAAAGGGUUGCCAACCCGCGAGGGGGAGCCAAUCCCAUAAAGCCAGUCGUAGUCCGGAUCGCAGUCUGCAACUCGACUGCGUGAAGUCGGAAUCGCUAGUAAUCGUGGAUCAGCAUGUCACGGUGAAUACGUUCCCGGGUCUU